rnacentral:rRNA from 1 species
GAGUGAAGCGGCAACAGCUCAAAUUUGAAAUCUGGCCCUUGGGUCCGAAUUGUAAUUUGUAGAGGAUGAUUUUGGUGCGGUAUCUUCCGAGUUCCUUGGAACAGGACGCCUUAGAGGGUGAGAGCCCCGUACGGUUGAAUGCCUAGCCUCUGUAAAUCUCCUUCGACGAGUCGAGUAGUUUGGGAAUGCUGCUCUAAAUGGGAGGUAAAUUUCUUCUAAAGCUAAAUACUGGCCAGAGACCGAUAGCGCACAAGUAGAGUGAUCGAAAGAUGAAAAGCACUUUGAAAAGAGGGUUAAAUAGCACGUGAAAUUGUUGAAAGGGAAGGAUUUAUGACCAGACUUUUUCUGGGCGGAUCAUCCGGUGUUCUCACCGGUGCACUUUGCCCAGUUUAGGCCAGCAUCGAUUUUCGGAGAGGGAUAAAAGCUUUAGGAAUGUGGCUCCCCCGGGAGUGUUAUAGCCUAUUGUAUAAUACCUUUCUGGGGAUCGAGGUACGCGCUUCUGCAAGGAUGCUGGCGUAAUGGUUAUCAAUCACCCGUCUUGAAACACGGACCAAGGAGUCGAACAUUUGUGCGAGUGUUUGGGUGUUAAACCCUCACGCGUAAUGAAAGUGAACGGAGGUGAGAGCCCUUACGGGUGCAUCAUCGACCGAUCCUGAAGUUUUCGGAUGGAUUUGAGUAAAAGCAUAACUGUUCGGACCCGAAAGAUGGUGAACUAUGCGUGGAUAGGGUGAAGCCAGAGGAAACUCUGGUGGAGGCUCGCAGCGGUUCUGACGUGCAAAUCGAUCGUCAAAUCUGCGCAU